CCUACGGGGGGCAGCAGUGGGGAAUAUUGGACAAUGGGGGGAACCCUGAUCCAGCCAUGCCGCGUGUGUGAAGAAGGCCCUCGGGUUGUAAAGCACUUUCAGUGAGGAAGAACGCCUGGUGGUUAAUACCCAUCAGGAAAGACAUCACUCACAGAAGAAGCACCGGCUAACCCCGUGCCAGCAGCCGCGGUAAUACGGAGGGUGCGAGCGUUAAUCGGAAUUACUGGGCGUAAAGCGCGCGUAGGUGGCCUGAUAAGCCGGUUGUGAAAGCCCCGGGCUCAACCUGGGAACGGCAUCCGGAACUGUCAAGCUAGAGUGCAGGAGAGGAAGGUAGAAUUCCCGGUGUAGCGGUGAAAUGCGUAGAGAUCGGGAGGAAUACCAGUGGCGAAGGCGGCCUUCUGGACUGACACUGACACUGAGGUGCGAAAGCGUGGGUAGCAAACAGGAUUAGAUACCCUUGUAGUC
rnacentral:rRNA from 1 species